rnacentral:rRNA from 1 species
UACGUAGGGUGCGAGCGUUGUCCGGAAUUAUUGGCGUAAAGGCGCGUAGGCGGCGUGACAAGUCACUUGUGAAUCUCCGGCUUAACUCGGAACGGUCAAGUGAUACUGUCGUGCUAGAGUACAGAAGGCAACUGGAAUUCUCGGUGUAGCGGUGAAUGCGUAGAUAUCGAGAGACACCUGCGCGAAGGCGUGCUGCUGAUACUGACGCUGAGCGCGAAGCUAGAGCGAACGG